UACGUAGGGUGCAAGCGUUGUCCGGAAUUAUUGGGCGUAAAGAGCUCGUAGGCGGUCUGUCGCGUCGGAUGUGAAAACCCGAGGCUUAACCUCGGGCCUGCAGUCGAUACGGGCAGACUAGAGUUCGGUAGGGGAGACUGGAAUUCCUGGUGUAGCGGUGAAAUGCGCAGAUAUCAGGAGGAACACCGGUGGCGAAGGCGGGUCUCUGGGCCGAUACUGACGCUGGAGGAGCGAAAGCGUGGGGAGCGAACAGG
rnacentral:rRNA from 1 species